AUUGAACGCUGGCGGCAGGCCUAACACAUGCAAGUCGAACGAGUGGCGGACGGGUGAGUAAUGUCUGGUAAACUGCCUGAUGGAGGGGGAUAACUACUGGAAACGGUAGCUAAUACCGCAUACCAUCGGAUGUGCCCAUAUGGGAUUAGCUAGUAGGUGGGGUAAAGGCUCACCUAGGCGACGAUCCCUAGCUGGUGGGAGAGGAUGACGAGCCACACGGGAACGGAAACCCGGUCCGGACUCCUACGGGAGGCAGAAGUGGGGAAUAUUGCACAAGGGGCGCAAGCCUGAUGCAGCCAUGCCGCGUGGAUGAAGAAGGCCUUCGGGUUGUAAAGUACUUUAAGCGGGGAGGCGUUACCCGCAGAAGAAGCACCGGCUAACUCCGUGCCAGCCGCCGCGGUAAUUC
rnacentral:rRNA from 1 species